AUUUUAUCUGCUAAUUUAUAAAAUUCUUCAUAUUUUACUGUGUUUGAUACCAUAAUAGCAUCUCAUUUAUUAACGUUUUGCUUUUUGAUUGCAGAACAGGAUAGUGUUUUAUUUUUUAAGCUUGUGGCAUCAUUAUACUUACAAUGUGUUUCUUGUAAGCAACAUAUAUCAAUGUUAUUUCUCUUUAACCACUCUGUUAAUGCUAAUCUUUUUUUGUGGUAGAUUAAUUCCCUGG